AUACUUACCUAGCAGGGGGAGAUACCAUCAACAUGAAGGUCGUUUUCCCAGGGUGAAGCUUAUGCGUUGCACUCCAGAUAUGCUCACCCCUAUGAUUUUCUCAAAUGUAGGCAACAUUACUGUAUAGUUUUUGAUAGUGAAGGACUGCAUUCAUACUAUUCCCUA